UUAAACGCUGGCGGCAGGCCUAACACAUGCAAGUCGAGCGGCAGCGGGGAGUAGCUUGCUACUCUGCCGGCGAGCGGCGGACGGGUGAGUAAAGUCUGGGGAUCUGGCUUAUGGAAGGGGAUAACCAUUGGAAACGGUGGCUAAUACCGCAUGAUGUCGCAAGACCAAAGUGGGGGACUUUAGGGCCUCACGCCAUAAGAUGAACCCAGAUGAGAUUAGCUAGUAGGUGCGGUAAUGGCGUACCUAGGCGACGAUCUCUAGCUGGUCUGAGAGGAUGACCAGCCACACUGGAACUGAGAAACGGUCCAGACUCCUACGGGAGGCAGCAGUGGGGAAUAUUGCACAAUGGGCGGAAGCCUGAUGCAGCCAUGCCGCGUGUGUGAAGAAGGCCUUAGGGUUGUAAAGCACUUUCAGCGGGGAGGAAGGCGGUAAGAGUAAUAUGCUUAUCGAUUGACGUUACCCGCAAAAGAAGCACCGGCUAACUCCGUGCCAGCAGCCGCGGUAAUACGGAGGGUGCGAGCGUUAAUCGGAAUAACUGGGCGUAAAGGGCAUGUAGGCGGUAAGUUAAGUCAGAUGUGAAAUCCCCGAGCUUAACUUGGGAACGGCAUUUGAGACUGGCUGGCUAGAGUUUUGUAGAGGGGGGUAGAAUUCCAGGUGUAGCGGUGAAAUGCGUAGAGAUCUGGAGGAAUACCGGUGGCGAAGGCGGCCCCCUGGACAAGGACUAACGCUGAGGUGCGAAAGCGUGGGUAGCAAACAGGAUUAGAUACCCUGGUAGUCCACGCUGUAAACGAUGUCGAUCUGGAGGUUGUGGCCUA
rnacentral:rRNA from 1 species